rnacentral:rRNA from 1 species
CUACCAAGGCAAUGAUCUAUAGCUGAUCUGAGAGGAUGAUCAGCCACACUGGAACUGAGAUACGGUCCAGACUCCUACGGGAGGCAGCAGUGGGGAAUAUUGGACAAUGGGCGAAAGCCUGAUCCAGCCAUGCCGCAUGAGUGAAGAAGGCCUUCGGGUUGUAAAGCUCUUUUAGUGAGGAAGAUAAUGACGGUACUUACAGAAGAAGUCCUGGCUAACUCCGUGCCAGCAGCCGCGGUAAUACGGAAAGGGCUAGCGUUAUUCGGAAUCAUUGGGCGUAAAGGGCGCGUAUGCGGAUUAGUAAGUUAAAAGUGAAAUCCCAAGGCUCAACCUUGGAAUUGCUUUUAAAACUGCUAAUCUAGAGAUUGAAAGAGGAUAGAGGAAUUCCUAGUGUAGAGGUGAAAUUCGUAAAUAUUAGGAGGAACACCAGUGGCGAAGGCGUCUAUCUGGUUCAAAUC